UACAGAGGUCUCAAGCGUUUGUUCGGAGUUCAAUUGGGCGUAAAGGGUGCGUAGGUGGCGCCAGUAAGUCAAGGCUGGUGAAAUCCUUCGGGGGACUCAACCUUCGAAACUGCACUUGAUACUGUGGUGCUUGAGUACUGGAGAGGAGAGUUGGAAUUUACGGUGUAGCAGUGAAAUGCGUAGAUAGUCGUAAGGAAGACCAGUGGCGA
rnacentral:rRNA from 1 species